UACGUAGGGAGCAAGCGUUGUCCGGAAUCAUUGGGCGUAAAGCGCGCGUAGGUGGCUUCGUAAGUCCGUUGUGAAAGUCAAAGGCUCAACCUUUGAAAGCCGAUGGAUACUGUGGAGCUAGAGUACGGAAGAGGCGAGUGGAAUUCCUGGUGUAGCGGUGGAAUGCGCAGAUAUCAGGAGGAACACCGGUGGCGAAGGCGGGUCUCUGGGCCAUUACUGACGCUGAGGAGCGAAAGCGUGGGGAGCGAACAGG
rnacentral:rRNA from 1 species